CUUGCUAAAUUGCAGUCUAAGUGGCGCACGGGUGAGUAAUGUAUAGGUAACAUGCCUUUUAGUAGGGGAUAACAGAUGGAAACGUCUGCUAAUACCCUAUAUUCCUUAUUAGCGUAAGUGUGUAAGGGAAAGAUUUAUUGCUAAAAGAUUGGCCUAUAUUGUAUCAGCUAGUUGGUAGUGUAAUGGACUACCAAGGCUAUGACGCAUAACUGGUUUGAGAGGAUGAUCAGUCACACUGGAACUGAGACACGGUCCAGACUCCUACGGGAGGCAGCAGUGGGGAAUAUUGCACAAUGGGGGAAACCCUGAUGCAGCAACGCCGCGUGGAGGAUGACACAUUUCGGUGCGUAAACUCCUUUUAUAAGAGAAGAUAAUGACGGUAUCUUAUGAAUAAGCACCGGCUAACUCCGUGCCAGCAGCCGCGGUAAUACGGAGGGUGCAAGCGUUACUCGGAAUCACUGGGCGUAAAGAGCGUGUAGGCGGAUUUGUAAGUUGGGAGUGAAAGCCUAUGGCUCAACCAUAGAACUGCUUCCAAAACUGCAUGUCUAGAGUGUGGGAGAGGUAGAUGGAAUUUCUGGUGUAGGGGUAAAAUCCGUAGAG
rnacentral:rRNA from 1 species